GAAGCAAGCCAGACCGCCGCUGGUGCGAUCGUGGAAACACGGCACUGGAGGAAGGUCCGGACUGCAUAGAGCGGCGUAGCAGCUAACGGCUGCCCGGCGGAAGCCGAGGAUCAGAGCAACAGAGACGAGUCGAUGGCGGCGCAAGCGGCCAUCGGGUGAAACGGGCAAUCUCUACGCGCAGCAACACCAAGUAGGCCAGCGUCGAUGCGGCUCGCAGAGCUGGCGGGUAGGUGGCACCGAGCCGGGCAGUGAUGCCCGGCCCAGAGGAAUGGCGGUCACGCGGCGAAUCGCAAGAGGAGCCGCGCACAGAAUCCGGCCUAUCGGCUUGCUUCACAU
rnacentral:RNase_P_RNA from 1 species